AGAAACGGAGACAACAAAGGUUCCAAACCUCUUUGAACUUCAUCAUAUGUUAUUACAUGAUUCAACUAUGCAUUAAAACAGUAUUGUCAAAUUUUUUGAAUUUUUCUCAAAAUCUAUGUGUACCCACCUACGAAAAUAGUGAGUUUUCGGUAAAUGCUUUAUAUAUGAAGCCUAUAAUCUUUUAAUUCGUUUUAAAAUUUAUAACCACAUUAUAAAUUUGUAUUAAUUUAUGAUAAACUUCUUUUCAUGGUACAUAGACAUCGUUCUAAUUUUUUAUCAAUUAAUUUAGCAAAACUGUAAAUACUCCCUAAAUCAUUGGACUAACCACUAUAAAAUUGCUAUUCCUUAGAGAAACGGAGACAACAAAGGUUCCAAACCUCUUUGAACUUCAUCAUAUUUUAUUACAUGAUUCAAAUAUGUAUUAAAACAGUAUUUUCAAUUUUUUUGAAUUUUUCUCAAAAUCUAUGUAUACCCCCCUACGAAAAUAGUGAGUUUUCGGUAAAUGCUCUAUAUAUGAAGCCUAUAAUCUUUUAAUUCGUUUUAAAAUUAAUAACCACAUUAUACAUUUGUAUUAAUUUAUAAUAAACUUCUUUUCAUGGUACAUGGACAUCGUUCUAAUUUUUUAUCUAUUAUUUUAGCAAAACUGCAAAUACUCCCUAAAUCAUUGGACUAACCACUAUAAAAUUGCUAUUCCCUAGAAAAACGAAGACAACAAAGGUUCCAAACCUCUUUGAACUUCAUCAUAUAUUAUUACAUGAUUCAAAUAUGUAUUAAAACAGUGUUGUCAAAUUUUUUGAUUUUUUCUCAAAAUCUAUGUGUACCCCCCAACGAAAAUAGUGAGUUUUCAGUAAAUGCUCUAUAUAUGAAGCCUAUAAUAUUUUAAUUUGUUUUAAAAUUUAUAACCACAUUACACAUUUAUAUUAAUUUAUGAUAAAUUCAUUUUCAUGGUACAUGGACAUCGUUCUAAUUUUUUAUAAAGUAAUUUAGCAAAACUGCAAACACUCCCUAAAUCAUUAGACUAACCACUAUAAAAUUGUUAUUCUUUAGAGAAACGGAGACAACAAAGGUUCCAAACCUCUUUGAACUUCAUCAUAUAUUAUUACAUGAUUCAACUAUGCAUUAAAACAGUAUUCUCAA
rnacentral:lncRNA from 1 species